UCCCGAGGGUGCGGGUGACAUUGGUGUCCUGUCACUGGUGGUCUCAGCUGCUGGGGGUGGCUCCCUCCUCUCCCAGGAGCCUUUCUGGGGGUGGUUUCGGGGUCCCGCGCGGUGUCCCCGCAUCCUCCCGGCCCGGGACUCGAACCCGCGGUCCUGCGGGGUCAGAGCACCUGAAGCCCCGCCUUUGCCCCGCCCUCUCGUUCCUCGCUUCCCAUUGGCCACUGAGGUGUCAAUCACAAUUACCCCGCCCUUUUGUUUGCACAACCUCAUAGCUAAGCCCCGCCCUCCACGCGCGCUGAUUGGUUGGGUGUGACGUCAGUGCAGCCCGGUUUCUCCGCUGGUUGGUCGGCGCUGCUGUCAAUCACGCACGGAGGCGGUGGCGGCCAUUUUGGGCGCACGGACGGAGCGCGGAGCUCCCCCCCUUUGCCACCAUGGCGGCUCCGCUCGGUCCCGGCGCCUUCACGGAGGAGAGCGGGCAGGAGAAACAGGACACUCAGGAGAAGGACAAAACCAUCCCCCCUGAGAGGGCAGAGGAGGCCAAGCUCAAGGCCAAAUACCCCAACCUGGGCCAGAAACCUGGAGGUUCUGAUUUCCUCAUGAAGAGGCUGCAGAAAGGGCAAAAAUACUUCGAUUCUGGUGACUACAACAUGGCCAAGGCCAAGAUGAAGAACAAGCAGCUGCCAAGUGCAGGGCCUGACAAGAACCUGGUGACAGGAGAUCACAUCCCCACACCUCAGGAUCUGCCUCAGAGGAAAUCCUCACUUGUCACCAGCAAGCUGGCAGGGUAGCUGCACUCUCAGCUGGGGGCUGCCCUCUUUUUGUCUCUGGUUUUUUGGUUUUUUUUUUUUUGGCUGAAUGGAUUGAACUUCACUGUACCAUAGGGAUGGGAGCACCAGAAUCCACGUAGUUGUUUGAGUCUUUCCAGCAAACACACCCCAAAUCCCCAAUUUGGGCAAGGGUGGGUUGGCCCUUCCUCUCAGUGAGGCUUUGCCUUAAUUUUCCUGCUGUUUGAAAACCUCCCUGGGGUGUUCCCUCCUGGCUGGGAGAGCCCUGAGGAGGGGAGAGGGUGGGGGAAGGGAUUUCAGGCCUUGGGGGUCGCAGGGAUGGACCCAGCUGGGCAGGAGGUGUGAUCCCAGAUCUGGAAAGUAAUCCUAGGUCUGAAAAGUGUGAUCCCAGAUCUGGAAAGUAAUCCUAGGUCUGAAAAGUGUGAUCCCAGAUCUGGAAAGUGAUCCCAGAUCUGGAAAGUGUGAGCUCAGACCUGGCAGGUGUGAUCCAGAUCUGGAAAAUGUGAUCCCAGAUGUGGAAAGGGUGACCCAGGUCUGGCAGGUGUGAUCCUGGAUCUGAAAAGUAAUUCUGAAUCUGAAAAGUGUGAUCCCAGAUCUGGAAAGUAAUCCUAGGUCUGAAAAGUGUGAUCCCAGAUCUGGAAAGUAAUCCUAGGUCUGAAAAGUGUGAUCCCAGAUCUGGAAAGUAAUCCUAGGUCUGAAAAGUGUGAUCCCAGAUCUGGAAAGUAAUCCUAGGUCUGAAAAGUGUGAUCCCAGAUCUGGAAAGUAAUCCUAGGUCUGAAAAGUGUGAUCCCAGAUCUGGAAAGUAAUCCUAGGUCUGAAAAGUGUGAUCCCAGAUCUGGAAAGUAAUCCUAGGUCUGAAAAGUGUGAUCCCAGAUCUGGAAAGUAAUCCUAGGUCUGAAAAGUGUGAUCCCAGAUCUGGAAAGUAAUCCUAGGUCUGAAAAGUGUGAUCCCAGAUCUGAAAAGUAAUCCUAGGUCUGAAAAGUGUGAUCCCAGAUCUGGAAAGUGUGAGCUCAGACCUGGCAGGUGUGAUCCAGAUCUGGAAAAUGUGAUCCCAGAUGUGGAAAGGGUGAUCCAGGUCUGGCAGGUGUGAUCCCAGAUCUGAAAAGUGUGAUCCUGGAUCUGAAAAGUAAUCCUAGAUCUGAAAAGUGUGAGCCCUGUGAUCUCAGAUCUGGAAGGUGUGAUCCAGGCUUGGAAAGGGAUCCCAGAUCUGGAAAUUGUGAUCCCAGACCUGGAAAAUGAUUCCAGACCUGGAAAGUGAUCCCAGAUCUGGAAAGUGUGAGCUCAGACCUGGCAG